CCAGCCCAGCCCAGCCAGCUCCAGCUCGCGCUUCUGGAUCUAUCGCCCAACACGUGGGGGCUCUUUUUCCGCGGCGGAAACUUUCGAGGGAUACUUGCUGCCAACUUGGACACACGCGCUCGGUGACAGCGGCGUGGGACUCUCGCGGGUGGCGGAAUCUAACCGCGCGGAUCCAGGCGCCCUUUCCGGGCAGGGGGGUGUGCCUCUCUUCCUUCUCCCGCGAUCGGAAUCCCGCUCCCACGUUUCUGACUCUCCGGUGCUCCGGGCAUUCGCUCCCCGCCGCCGCUCCCUUUUCCUAGCGCAGAAAAAUGUGGCCAGCGAGCCUUUUUAACGAUCCAGCUCUGGUUUUCCUGAGGGGCGGGAGCUCACCCCACCCGUGCCUGCCGUACCUCCUAGUUUUUGUGCCGUCCAGUGUAACUCAAGAAGACCUGGCAAGGACGAGGGAGGCCAAGCAAGUUAAAUCCACAGGAACGCGCCGGGGUUGCUCGCCGUCCCCCCUGACAGAAGGGUUUUGACGCACACAUGGUGUUCCCCAGAAGAGGUCAGUCAGUGUCAGACAACCCCACAGAGUCCUUUGACCUGAUUCCAUCAAGUCCAGUGUACACGCCAGAAGGCCUUUUCUGCCUGAGAGCUACUGUACAACAGUUUAUAUCUCAGCUGGUUUCGUUUUUAUGAGCUUGAAGCUGAGGGCUCUGCUUCCAAGAAGCAUUUCUUGACUGACGACUAUACAGAACAUAACAACUUGUACCCAUGCUGCAAAGUUUCAACUGCACAGGGCAAUCUUUUAUACUAAAUUCCCCAACCACUUUCCAAACUUGAUGUUAAUCCCAGAAAGGGAAUGUCUACAUGAGUGUCAAUCUGGUAUAGGCAUGGAGAACCUGUCACUCUUUUGGAUUUUGCAAAGUUACUAUUCCUUUCAUCCCAAACAGCAUGGCCAUGGAGAGGAAAGCCAGGAGUCAUAACUCAAGAAGUUCUGGAAAAGCACAAAUUCCCCACUCCAGAUCCAGAGCUUUCUUUUUAUUUUGGUUCAUUUGGCUGACUCUUAGCUAAGGCUGUGGCUUUCCUGUCACUAUUCUUACUAGAGAUGAAAGUUAGAAGUUACUAACUUCUAAAGUUAGAAUAUUUGACACUUUAGAUUAGCUGAAAGCAGUCUUCUUUAAUCUGAAGCCUCCUAGAUGAGAUGAACUAUAGCCUACAUCACCCCUGACUGGCAAUUGGGAAUGGUGGGAGGUGUAGUCCUACAUAUUUGGAAGGCAGCUGGGACAGGGUGGUCUACAGAAAUGAGAUCACCCUGAAGAGCUCUAUAGAAGCUGGUCUCCAUCACAAUAUGAAUGGAUGUAACUUGAACAGGUAAGCAGAAAAGCAGCUGGUCAGCUGUUGGCUAAGGAAAGGAUGCCUGAAGGACAACUUCACCUCCUCAUGCUCACCUAGCCAACUGGUUAUGCUAUUCCUGUGCAGUGCUAGACGCUGGAUCAAUUACCUAGUUCAAGAAAGGACAUAUUAGUGCAACUAAUUUUUUUAUCAGCUAAGGGUACAUGCACAGAAUUCUACUUUUCCUAAUUAUAUCAAGUCAGUUGCUGCUGGCUAUUAUAAUGUGCCGAAAGCAUUGUUGUAUGUCAAAUGCUUCCAAAAUAAAUACAACUUAAAAUAAAUGCUUGGGAUUUCUCAGUUCAUUGUAUUUGUACUCUGCUACUGUCUUCCAGGAAACUCAGUAAAGCAGAUAUGAGAUCAUUUCGUUUUGUCUCCAUGAAGCGGGCUAUUUUUUGAGCAGUGGGAUCAUCCACUGAGAAUUAUAGCUAAGCCAAGAUUUGAAUCCAGACUUCCCAGAUGAAAUCUAGCAUCCUACGAAAAUAAAAUAUGGAUAGGGUUCCCCCGCCCCCCCAGGA